AUUUACACAUUGAUACUUGUUCGUGCACUUCCAUAAGAAAAUAUUGUAACAAACAUCAAACACUAAGCUAUAAUAAGCGUCUUCACUAUCUCCCAAGCUCAUAAUAACACUUGACUAUGCAGAUAGAGGCUCAAAGCUAUAUAAUGCUACUCGCCUAAACUAAGUCAAAUAGCCAAUGCUUGGAACGAAAGAUCCAAUGUGGCAGUCAAAAGUAUCUACGCUCGGUCAAAGGGUUUAACUGAGCAAGAGUCUGCUCAGACCGAACAAGAUCAAGCCGAGCAGCAUAUAACAGAACGAUAGGAGAUGCAGUGUUAAUGCUCGCCUGCCACGCCUAGCAUCAUAUAAACCAAGCAGCAACAUUGCCAAGUUAAGAUUAAAUCCUAAUUUAUAGAAAAGUAUCUCGAGAUAUAAACCCAAUUUCCGAGAUUGUGGCAAAUAGCUAUAAUAGUUAUUUUGCUUAACACCAUAAAUAUUAGAAAUUGCCAUUAACCAAGGACGAAACUCAGCCAAAUUUACCAUUCAAUUGC
rnacentral:misc_RNA from 1 species